GAUGAACGCUAGCGGCAGGCCUAAUACAUGCAAGUCGAACGGAUAUAUGUUUUUCGGAAUAUAUAUUAGUGGCGCACGGGUGAGUAACACGUACAUAACUUGCCCUCAAGCGGGGGAUAGCCUUGGGAAACUGAGAGUAAUACCCCAUAGAAUUAUUGGACGGCAUCGUUUGAUAAUUAAAACUACGGUGCUUGGGGAUAGAUGUGCGUCUGAUUAGCUAGUUGGUGAGGUAACUGCUCACCAAGGCGACGAUCAGUAGGGGGCGUGAGAGCGUGGCCCCCCACACGGGUACUGAGACACGGACCCGACUCCUACGGGAGGCAGCAGUAAGGAAUAUUGGUCAAUGGAGGGAACUCUGAACCAGCCAUGCCGCGUGAAGGAUGACGGCCCUCUGGGUUGUAAACUUCUUUUGGAUGGGGCGAAAAAACGGGNUUUAUCCUGGACUGACGGUACCAUCAGAAUAAGCACCGGCUAACUCCGUG
rnacentral:rRNA from 1 species